rnacentral:tRNA from 1 species
GGAGAAAUGGCUGAGUGGCUGAAAGCGUAGGCUUGCUAAGCCUUUGUAUCUGUUUUGAUACCGUAGGUUCGAAUCCUACUUUCUCC